rnacentral:rRNA from 1 species
AGUGGAUGGGGAGCAACCUAGUUGUGCGUGUGUAAAGGUAGUGCCAAGAAAAGCGGUGAUCAUGAUGAAAAUCAAUUCCCGGUACCCGAAACCGACACAGGUGGGCAAGUAGAGAAUACUAAGGGGCGCGAGGUAACUCUCUCCAAGGAACUCGGCAAAAUGACCCCGUAACUUAGGGAGAAGGGGUGCCACCGAGAGGUGGUCGCAGUGAAGAGGCCCAGGCGACUGUUUAGCAAAAACAUAGGUCUCUGCAAACUCGAAAGAGGAGGUAUAGGGGCUGACGCCUGCCCAGUGCCGGAAGGUUAAAGAAGUUGGUCAGUCUUAGGAUAAAGCUAGCGACUGAAGCCCCGGUGAACGGCGGCCGUACUAUAACGGUCCUAAGGUAGCGAAAUUCCUUGUCGGGUAAGUUCCGACCCGCACGAAAGGCGUAACGAUCUGGGCGCUGUCUCGGAGAGAGGCUCGGCGAAAUAGGAUUGUCUGUGAAGAUACGGACUACCUGCAUUUGGACAGAAAGACCCUAUGAAGCUUUACUAUAGCUUGGAAUUGUGUUCGGGCUUCCUGUGCGCAGGAUAGGUGGGAGGCGAAGAAGGUAUUCUUGUGGGGAUACUGGAGCCAACGGUGAGAUACCACUCUCAGGAGGCUAGAAUUCUAACUUAAUUAAGGACAAUUUCAGGUGGGUAGUUUGACUGGGGCGGUCGCCUCCAAAAAGGUAACGGAGGCGUACAAAGGUUCCCUCAGACUGGUUGGAAAUCAGUCGCAGAGUGCAAAGGCAGAAGGGAGCUUGACUGCGAGAAGUACAGUUCGAGCAGGGUGGAAACACGGUCUUAGUGAUCCGACGGUGCUGUGUGGAAGGGCCGUCGCUCAACGGAUAAAAGUUACUCUAAGGAUAACAGGCUGAUCUCCCCCAAGAGUUCACAUCGACGGGGAGGUUUGGCACCUCGAUGUCGGCUCAUCGCAACCUGGGGCGGAAGUACGUCCCAAGGGUUGGGCUGUUCGCCCAUUAAAGCGGUACGUGAGCUGGGUUCAGAACGUCGUGAGACAGUUCGGUCCAUAUCCGAUGUAGGCGUGAGAAUAUUGAGAGGAGCCUUCCUUAGUACGAGAGGACCGGGAAGGACGCACCGCUGGUGUACCUGUUAUGAUGCCAAUUGUAAACGCAGGGUAGCCAAGUGCGGAGAGGAUAACCGCUGAAAGCAUCUAAGUGGGAAGCCCACCUCAAGAUGAGUAUUCUGGUGUAAGGUCACGGGAAGACGACCCGUAAAUAGGCACGAGGUGGAAGUGCAGAGAUGUAUGAAGCCGAAGUGUACUAAUAGACCGUCGGCUUGACCA